AGGACGAACGCUGGCGGCGUGCUUAACACAUGCAGGUCGUGGGCAUCUCGCAAGAGGUGACCGGCGAACGGGUGCGUAACACGUGAGCGACCUACCGAUGCGCGGGGGAUAGCCGGCCCAACGGCCGGGUAAUACCGCAUACGCCAGCCGAGCCGCAUGGCUUGGUUGGGAAACCUCCGGGGCGGAUCGAGGGGCUCGCGGCCUAUCAGCUAGUUGGCGGGUAACGGCCCACCAAGGCGACGACGGGUAGCUGGUCUGAGAGGAUGGCCAGCCACAUUGGGACUGAGAAACGGCCCAGACUCCUACGGGAGGCAGCAGUGGGGAAUAUUGCGCAAUGGCCGCAAGGCUGACGCAGCGACGCCGCGUGUGGGAUGACGCCCUUCGGGGUGUAAACCACUGUUGCCCGGGACGAACGAGGGGAUUUAUCCCCUGUGACGGUACCGGGUGAGGAAGCACCGGCUAACUCCGUGCCAGCAGCCGCGGUAA
rnacentral:rRNA from 1 species